rnacentral:lncRNA from 1 species
AUGGACAGACCCACUUUUUCCGGAAUGAAGGGCACCCCCCACGUCACGGCAGCUCCGCAGAUGCGGCCGUCACCCACGGCGGUCCUGGCCAGGGUGCCGGGGGCCUCGAGGCCGCCCCAGGCCGGCCAGCCACCCUCUGGGCCUCCUGCCUGUGCCUUCCUGCCACCUCCACUGAGGUCCCUGAGGGGACAUCCUGCCGCAGAGGGACCCGGGGAGCCCAGGGCCCCCAGGAGGCUGCUCUGUCCCCGCUUAGCCCCUGGGACGGGGGUUCCCGGCCAAACUCCGGCGUCCGAAUCCUGGACACUCGGGGUGAGGCCGUGCCUCUUGGGGGAGUCUUGGUCGGAGGUCAGGCUCAAGGUCUGGGGAGGGAGCAGGGCCCCUCUGGGCGCCCCCAGCCCGAGCCCCCAGCCCGACGUGCCAUGCCCCCCACGCUGUCUCUGGGCGUGGCCAGGGGAUGCUGGAGCCCGGGAAGGGAGAGCCCCGGGGUACCCCCCCGCCCCGCCCAGGAGGGGUCUCGGACCCCCGCCCUGUCUCCUGCAGCCGGUGGCGUCUGCGAGCCGCCCCUUGCACAAGGCGGGGCCUCAUGAGCCGCUUCUAGCCCUGAGUUCCGACUCCCACUGGGCCCUCCUUCCUCCUGGUGCUAAUUUGGGGACCCUGGGGGGCUGCCCAGGACCUGCUGGGACCAGGGUGCUGGGUCCCUCCAACCGUACCCCAGAGAUCAGGCCACUGCCAGCUCCACUGGGCUUGGCACGUUUCUGGCAGCGGCGGGGCGCACGCAGCCCGAGCCGGGGGCUUCCUCUGCGGGAGACCCCAUCCGCCGCCCCGCCCGACGUGAGCCUGUCCCCCGCCGGGAGGGAGAGGGGUGCGGGUCCCACUCCUGGGGGCGGCCACCACCCGGAUGUGCACGCAUGGCUCCCUGGACGCAGCCACUCGCCCCCAGAGGCACACGUGUGCACACGCUCCCACACCCUCCGGGGCCUCCCGCCCGGUGCCGGGGCAGGUGCAGGGGCCAGCGCUGCCACAGCCUGGGUCCCGACUCCGCUCUGCCCCUCGGUGGCAGGGGGAGAGGCCGUGUCUGAGGUGACCCUGGGCCGUGGCCGUGGGACCCCCUCUUCCUCCUCGAGUCCUCGAGCUGUGAGGCUCCGCUCAAGUGCCCCUCUGCUUCUGACGUGUGACAAGGCCCUUAUGUUCUCGACUUUCCCAGAGAAGCAAAUAAACAGUGUGAACAGCCCCAGG